UACGGGGGGAGCAAGCGUUGUUCGGAUUUACUGGGCGUAAAGGGCGCGUAGGCGGCCUGUGCAAGUCAGUUGUGAAAUCUCCGAGCUUAACUCAGAACGGUCAACUGAUACUGCUCGGCUAGAGUGCGGAAGGGGCAACUGGAAUUCUUGGUGUAGCGGUGAAAUGCGUAGAUAUCAAGAGGAACACCUGCGGCGAAGGCGGGUUGCUGGGCCGACACUGACGCUGAGGCGCGAAAGCUAGGGGAGCGAACGGG
rnacentral:rRNA from 1 species